rnacentral:misc_RNA from 1 species
UGUGGGAGCGAGCUUGCUCGCGAUGGCGGCCUGACAUUCAACAGGGUUGUUGGCUGUCAGAUUGCUAUCGCGAGCAAGCUCGCUCCCACA